AAGGUAGCGCAAUCAAUUGUCUUUUAAAUGGAGACCUGUAUGAAUGGCAUAACGAGGGUUUAACUGUCUCUUUUUUCUGGUCAAUGAAACUGAUCUACCCGUGCAGAAGCGGGCAUAACUACACAAGACGAGAAGACCCUAUGGAGCUUUAGACGCCCACCAACCAUGAAAAGCACUCCGACUUAACGGACCCCCAAACAACAUGGUUAUGGCACAAACGUCUUCGGUUGGGGCGACCACGGGGGAAAGCAAAGCCCCCGAGAGGAUUGGGGGAAACCCUAAAACCAAGAGCCACAGCUCUAAGUCACAAAAUAUUUGACCAAUAAUGAUCCGGCUUACUGCCGAUCAACGGACCAAGUUACCCUAGGGAUAACAGCGCAAUCCCCUCCCAGAGUCCAUAUCGACGAGGGGGUUUACGACCUCGAUGUUGGAUCAGGACAUCCUAAUGGUGCAGCCGCUAUUAAGGGUUCGUUU
rnacentral:rRNA from 1 species